CUAAGAAUCGCGAAUCGAUAACAAUGGCUUGGAAAACAGUUUUUAUAAUGGCGUGCUUAGCAAAUAAUAAAAAAAUCGAGAUAUUAUUGAACUUGAUUUGACAUGAGGUCAAAGUCGGAGCCUUGUGGUUAGUGCGUUACCGUACCAUCUCUACUACAAUGGUGUAGUUAUACCUGUUAUAUCUACAUAGUUAAGAUGUAGGUAUGAGUAUAAGUUUAACGUAAGGGUUUCCGUGUUAUCACUUGUUAGCGAGUGUUUGUUAGAGACUACCGACUGAGCCGAUCGGAAGUCUUACGGCACACUUAGGUACAUAUAUCCUGGCCAACCCUUACUGCUACUCUACCCGUACUCUAGUAGCCUACACAGCAAAAAAGCCUAAUAAAACUGCUGACUAUUUAAAACCGAGUUUGCUCCACUUUUGACCGGGCGGUUAAUCAAAAUACAGCGGCGGGACGGAAAGUUUAUAACGAGGAGCGGUAGUUAUUGUGCAGGCGGCCAUUGUACGCAACCCGGGACCUCGUUAUGGGAAGAAAAUGCACCGUCGCGUUUUGUGUGACACUGUGAAUUUGUGACGGCAAGUUUUGUGACGCAAAGUGGAUUUUUUCUACGGUUCCUUCGUGCUCUUCUGGAUUUCGCCGCUGAAAUGGCGUUGGCUGAAGCUUGCACUCUUAUGAGAUUCUUUGUGGGUGUCACCGAGGUGUGUUUCAUGUCUGCCCCAGUAGGGGACUGCAGCUACUGUUGUCCAAGAAACGACGCAUUGGAUAUCAUUUACAAACUGUUUACAAGGUCCAACCCAACAGAAUUCCAAGUGAUAGUUCCCGGUAACCUGCGGAAGCUGGAGACGACCAACUUCAACCAGUCGGCGCCCACCGUCAUCUACCUGAUGGGCUUCUCGGAGGCCACCACCGGGCCCAGCACCACCACUAUAAGGGAUGCGUAUUUGUCCACUGGGGAGUACAACUUCAUAUCAGUGGAUUGGUCCCGCCUUAUAGCUGGUCCAUGGUACGUGUCAGCAGUGCAGAACACGCGCUACAUGGGGGUCCGGCUGGCCAAGUUCAUCCAGUUCCUGUCUCGCGCGGGGGUGCCCCCGGGUUCCGUGCAUGUGGUGGGGUUCUCUCUGGGCGCUGAGGCCGCCGGGUUCACGGGCAAGGCCUUGAGGGAACAAGGGGUGCGGUUGGGCAGGAUCACUGGGUUGGACCCAGCCUACCCCGGCUACAAGUUGGCCAACAGCGACGGCCACCUAUCCAAGGGUGACGCCCAGUUUGUGGACGUACUGCACUCCAACCCAGGUAUCUUCGGCUUCCCGGAGGCGCUCGGAGACGUCGACUUCUACCCCAACCCCGGCUCCUACAUCCAGCGCGGCUGCUGGCUCGACCAGCUCGUCAAGAAUCGGGAGGUCGGGUACAUUUACGGCUGCAGUCACAACCGCGCGUGGCGGCUCUACGCAGAGACCAUCCGCAAUCCGCGGGGCUUCCCCGCCACGCUCUGCCGCGAUUGGACGUCCGCUACUCGCUCCUGCCAGUUCCACACUGACGGCUACAUGGGCUUCGGAGCGAAACCUCCUCGGCUGCAGUCACAACCGCGCGUGGCGGCUCUACGCUGAGACCGUCCGCAACCCGCGCGGCUUCCCCGCCACGCUCUGCCGCGAUUGGACGUCCGCUACUCACUCGUGUGACUUCCACACUGACGGCUACAUGGGCUUUGGAGCGAGGCCUCCGAUGCAGGGCAAGAUGUAUCUACUGACAAAUGAAAAGCCACCCUACGCCCGAAAUGGACCUUAAAUUUAAUAACCUUCAUAAUCUUGUAAAUAUGUAAUCGUUAUAAAUUAUGUCGGUAGUUAAUAGCUUAGUUUUAGUGCCAGUGUAACGUUCCUGUGAUAUUUAUUUAUACCAAAUAGAAAUAAAAACCAAGGGCUGUAUAAA